rnacentral:pre_miRNA from 1 species
AGUGAGAUAGCUGGGUCAAAUGGUGGUUCACUUCCCAGUUUUCUGAGGAAUCUCCAUCCUGCUUUCCAUAGUGGUUGCACCAAUUUGCAUUCCCACCAGCAAU